GACGAACGCUGGCGGCGUGCCUAAUACAUGCAAGUCGAGCGCAGGAAAUCGACGGAACCCUUCGGGGGGAAGUCGAUGGAAUGAGCGGCGGACGGGUGAGUAACACGUAAAGAACCUGCCCUCAGGUCUGGGAUAACCACGAGAAAUCGGGGCUAAUACCGGAUGGGUCAUCGGACCGCAUGGUCCGAGGAUGAAAGGCGCUCCGGCGUCGCCUGGGGAUGGCUUUGCGGUGCAUUAGCUAGUUGGUGGGGUGACGGCCCACCAAGGCGACGAUGCAUAGCCGACCUGAGAGGGUGAUCGGCCACACUGGGACUGAGACACGGCCCAGACUCCGACGGGAGACAGCAGUAGGGAAUCUUCCACAAUGGACGAAAGUCUGAUGGAGCAACGCCGCGUGAACGAUGAAGGCCUUCGGGUCGUAAAGUUCUGUUGUAAGGGAAGAACAAGUGCCGCAGGCAAUGGCGGCACCUUGACGGUACCUUGCGAGAAAGCCACGGCUAACUACGUGCCAGCCGCCGCAGUAAUAC
rnacentral:rRNA from 1 species